rnacentral:rRNA from 1 species
UACGAAGGGGGCUAGCGUUGCUCGGAAUCACUGGGCGUAAAGCGCACGUAGGCGGAUUGUUAAGUCAGGGGUGAAAUCCUGGAGCUCAACUCCAGAACUGCCUUCGAUACUGAGAGUCUCGAGUCCGGGAGAGGUGAGUGGAAUUGCGAGUGUAGAGGUGAAAUUCGUAGAUAUUCGCAAGAACACCAGUGGCGAAGGCGGCUCACUGGCCCGGUACUGACGCUGAGGUGCGAAAGCGUGGGGAGCAAACAGG